rnacentral:rRNA from 1 species
ACAUGCAGAGAACUUUCCAGAGAUGGAUUGGUGCCUUCGGGAACGUCUGACACAGGUGCUGCAUGGCUGUCGUCAGCUCGUGUCGUGAGAUGUUGGGUUAAGUCCGCAACGAGCGCAACCCUUGCCUUAGUUGCCAGCAGUUCGGCUGGGCACUCUAAAGGGACUGCCGGUGUUAAACCGGAGGAAGGCGGGGAUGACGUCAAGUCAUCAUGGCCCUUACGGCCUGGGCUACACACGUGCUACAAUGGUCGGUACAAAGGGUUGCCAAGCCGCGAGGUGGAGCUAAUCCCAUAAAACCGAUCGUAGUCCGGAUCGCAGUCUGCAACUCGACUGCGUGAAGUCGGAAUCGCUAGUAAUCGUGAAUCAGAAUGUCACGGUGAAUACGUUCCCGGGCCUU